rnacentral:rRNA from 1 species
AAGGAUCAUUACCGUGGGGAUUCGUCCCCAUUGAGAUAGCACCCUUUGUUUAUGAGCACCAUUGUUUCCUCGGCGGGCUCGCCCGCCGGUGGACAACCCAAACCCUCUGUAGUAGCAGUACCUUCAGUAAAAAACAAAUAUUAAAACUUUCAACAACGGAUCUCUUGGUUCUGGCAUCGAUGAAGAACGCAGCGAAAUGCGAUAAGUAGUGUGAAUUGCAGAAUUCAGUGAAUCAUCGAAUCUUUGAACGCACAUUGCGCCCUUCGGUAUUCCGUUGGGCAUGCCUGUUCGAGCGUCACUUAAACCUUCAAGCUCUGCUUGGUGUUGGGUGUUUGUUCCGCCUCUGCGCGUGGACUCGCCUCAAAUUCAUUGGCAGCCGGCGAGUUGGCUUCGUGCGCAGCACAUUUGCGCGUCGUCUCCAGCCCGUCUCCUCCCAUCAAGCCCCCUUUUAAAUUUUGACCUCGGAUCAGGUAGGGAUACCCGCUGAACUUAAGCAUAUCAAUAAGCGGAGGAAAAGAAACCAACAGGGAUUGCCCCAGUAACGGCGAGUGAAGCGGCAAUAGCUCAAAUUUGAAAUCUGGCCCUUUCAGGGUCCGAGUUGUAAUUUGCAGAGGGCGCUUUGGCGUCGGCAGCAACCUAAGUUCCUUGGAACAGGUCAUCAUAGAGGGUGAGAAUCCCGUAUGUGGCUGCUUGUCUUCGCCGUGUAAAGCCCCUUCGAUGAGUCGAGUUGUUUGGGAAUGCAGCUCUAAAUGGGAGGUAAAUUUCUUCUAAAGCUAAAUAUUGGCCAGAGACCGAUAGCGCACAAGUAGAGUGAUCGAAAGAUGAAAAGCACUUUGGAAAGAGAGUCAAAAAGCACGUGAAAUUGUUGAAAGGGAAGCGCUUGCAGCCAGACGUGCCCGCAGUUGCUCAUCCGGGGUUCUCCCCGGUGCACUCUUCUGUGGGCAGGCCAGCAUCAGUCCGGGCGGUCGGAGAAAGACCUGUGUCAUGUAGCUCUCUUCGGGGAGUGUUAUAGGGCAGGUGGAAUGCGACCAGCCUGGACUGAGGUCCGCGCAUCUGCUAGGAUGCUGGCGUAAUGGCUGUAAGCGGCC